AAGAAAAGUUGUGUAUACCCAGGGUGUUUUUACCCACGGCCAUUUUCCGUGGGUAAUACCCACGGCAAAGCCAUCGAAAAGGUAAAAAUAAGAAAUCACUUGUUUCCCUCUCACAUUUUCAAAGGAAAGUGUUGCAUCCACUAAAAAACGGGGUUAGCGCGAAAAAAUAUUUUGGUUACCCACGGCAAAUUCGUAUAUAAGCACAUUAUAAUUAUUAAUAUUUUUUUUUAUUAAUUUACUUCCACUUCCACUAUACCUUUCUUUUCUCUACCACUAUUCAUACUUUUCCCAAUUCUACUCAAAAGUCUGAUAAAAAAACGAAGGUUGGAAGACAACAUGACGGCGAAAGGCAAAACCCUAUCACUCUCUACUCCGGCGACCAUCUUCGUUCUGGUGACCCUCUCCGCUCUAAAGACCGUCUCCACUUUCUUCGUUCCCACUGCGUCCUCUCUGUUCGUCCCCCCUCCACCGGAACAGUGAGUAUAAUCCUUACUACUCAGUCUUCAUGUUUUGCUAAUUAAUCGACAUAAUCUUGUUGUGUGAAGCUGAGAAUUGAUUUUGUUGUUGUUGGGAAACUGGGAAUUUGAUGGGAAUCGGUCUUAGUUGCUAUAUGUGUGUAUUGGUUACUUCAAUAUCAUUUUUUAUCUUUGUUCUUUUGGGGAUUGUUUGCUCAUUUGGAAAUUACAAUUGAAAUGUUCAAUUUUCUUGUUGGAUGAUUUACAUUUUGUAGUGAAAACCCUAAAUUUAAUUUUCAUAUGAUUUGAACUUUACAUUUUUUUCCUAUGAAAGUUCAUUCUUUUUGUGGAUUCAUGAUAUGAAAAAAUUCCCAAAUAUGAAAAGUAAUAAUUACCUUUUUUUUUAAUGGCAAGAAUAUAUUAAUGGUUACCUUUGUGAUUUCUGAUUAGUGACUACUUAACCAUUGUUUUGAGCUAUGAAAAAGUUGAGGUACAUUCAUAAUGGAGAUUUGUCCAAAAGUUUCUUCAAUGGGUCAUUGCCUUCUAACACAACCAGCUAAGUGGAAUGGAAUACAAAUAAAAAAUAGCAAUAUAGUCUUCUAACCAUGAACCUGCAACAAGUACUACUAUGGCAGCAACAACAGCUCAGUCAGAGCCAAAACAAGUGACGUUGGUGAUUUUAGUGCUGGUUCUUAUGCAACAAUAGUUGGAGCGGAGGCUGCAGAGUUGGGUAGAGUACUCACAGUGGACGGGGUCUUUGUAAGAACUCAAACCAAUGCAUAGAAGUCAUCUUGGGUUGAACAAGAUAUAAAUUGCAGGCCUCAGAAGCUGCAGAUGGUAAGGGCUCCCAAACGAUCAACACGAUCGACCCUCCGACUCAUUUUAAGUUAUGUGUCUAAUCAUCUAGGGGGAAAACUGUUAUGACUACAUAUUUUGUCCAAAUUGGUAGUGUCUUAUCUGUUUAUUUUGAAACUUGUAAUAGUGUCAAUUUUUGUUAACACUACACUUUAGUUUGAGUAAGUGAUCUUUUGAUGAUAUGAUUCAAUUUGCUUAGUUUUAAAUUUA